rnacentral:lncRNA from 1 species
UUGGGAGGUAAUAGCUUUUGUAUGAUGGCGCUGCAGUUUCCCUAUAGUUCAAUUGCUUCCUCUUCAAUGUAUUUUCUUUUCUUAGAGAGAAGUUCUUUCAGAAAUUUUGCAUAUGAAGACAUUUGCUGCAAGGCCUCUGAGAAGGGUAUGUUGAUGUCCAGUUUCUUGAAGAUCUCCAUGAAGUGCUCAAAUUGCUUCUCUUUUUCCUUCCUAGAAUAGUUCCUUGGGUAAGGAAGGGAUUUUUCAAAAACUUCUUUCUUUUUUUUUUCUCAUUCUCCUCCUUACACUUUUUUUCCUUUUCUCUCUCUUUUUCUUUUUCUUUUCUCUUACUCUCUCGUUUUUCUCUCUUAUUUUUCUUUUUCUCGCAAUCUCUCUCUUUCUUUUCUUUUAUCUAACACUCU